AACGUAGGAGGCGAGCGUUAUCCGGAUUUACUGGGUGUAAAGCGCGUGCAGGCGGUCUUGUAAGUGGUGCGUGAAAGCGCCCGGCUCAACCGGGCGAGGCCGUGCCAGACUGCGAGGCUGGAGGCAGGUAGAGGCGGGUGGAAUUCCGGGUGUAGUGGUGAAAUGCGUAGAGAUCCGGAGGAACACCAGUGGCGAAGGCGACCCGCUGGGCCUGGCCUGACGCUCAGACGCGAAAGCAUGGGGAGCGAACGGG
rnacentral:rRNA from 1 species